rnacentral:tRNA from 1 species
GGAGGCGGUCGGGUCCUGGUGGGCCUCCUGGUCUUCAAAACCAGUGUGGGGGGUUAGAAGCCUCCCGGGCGGGUUCGAUCCCCGUGCGCCUCCG